GUGAAGAACGCAGCGAAAUGCGAUAAGUAAUGUGAAUUGCAGAAUUCAGUGAAUCAUCGAAUCUUUGAACGCACAUUGCGCCCCCUGGUAUUCCGGGGGGCAUGCCUGUUCGAGCGUCAUUUCACCACUCAAGCCUCGCUUGGUAUUGGGCAACGCGGUCCGCCGCGUGCCUCAAAUCGACCGGCUGGGUCUUCUGUCCCCUAAGCGUUGUGGAAACUAUUCGCUAAAGGGUGUUCGGGAGGCUACGCCGUAAAACAACCCCAUUUCUAAGGUUGACCUCGGAUCAGGUAGGGAUACCCGCUGAACUUAAGCAUAUCAAUAAGCGGAGGA
rnacentral:misc_RNA from 1 species